rnacentral:rRNA from 1 species
AUUGAACGCUGGCGGUAGGCCUAACACAUGCAAGUCGAACGGCAGCACAGUAAGAGCUUGCUCUUACGGGUGGCGAGUGGCGGACGGGUGAGGAAUACAUCGGACUCUACUUUUUCGUGGGGGAUAACGUAGGGAAACUUACGCUAAUACCGCAUACUACCUACGGGUGAAAGCAGGGGAUCUUCGGACCUUGCGCGAUUGAAUGAGCCGAUGGCGGAUUAGCUAGUUGGCGGGGUAACGGCCCACCAAGGCGACGAUCCGUAGCUGGUCUGAGAGGAUGAUCAGCCACACUGGAACUGAGACACGGUCCAGACUCCUACGGGAGGCAGCAGUGGGGAAUAUUGCACAAUGGGCGCAAGCCUGAUCCAGCCAUACCGCGUGGGUGAAGAAGGCCUUCGGGUUGUAAAGCCCUUUUGUUGGGAAAGAAAAGCAGCAGGUUAAUACCCCGCUGUUCUGACGGUACCCAAAGAAUAAGCACCGGCUAACUUCGUG